rnacentral:rRNA from 1 species
AUUGAACGCUGGCGGCAGGCCUAACACAUGCAAGUCGAGCGGAGGAAGGGAGCUUGCUCCUGGAUUCAGCGGCGGACGGGUGAGUAAUGCCUAGGAAUCUGCCUGGUAGUGGGGGAUAACGUCCGGAAACGGGCGCUAAUACCGCAUACGUCCUGAGGGAGAAAGUGGGGGAUAUUCGGACCUCACGCUAUCAGAUGAGCCUAGGUCGGAUUAGCUAGUUGGUGGGGUAAAGGCCUACCAAGGCGACGAUCCGUAACUGGUCUGAGAGGAUGAUCAGUCACACUGGAACUGAGACACGGUCCAGACUCCUACGGGAGGCAGCAGUGGGGAAUAUUGGACAAUGGGCGAAAGCCUGAUCCAGCCAUGCCGCGUGUGUGAAGAAGGUCUUCGGAUUGUAAAGCACUUUAAGUUGGGAGGAAGGGCAGUAAGUUAAUACCUUGCUGUCUUGACGUUACCAACAGAAUAAGCACCGGCUAACUUCGUG